UCAUUUCCCAUCUCUCAGCUGCCUUUGAAACCUCUUGUCUAUCAAACUCUCUGAAAUCCUAGCCUUCUUCUACCUCUCUUCAACCACCACUCCACUGGAAUCCAUGGCUUCUCAGGCCAUUGAUGGUUGGUACUCACUCCCCUCCAUCAGUAAACCAUGGUUGUUCGAAGCUUCGAGACCGAACCUCGAUGGUUCUCCUUCAGAUCCUUCUCAAAUCAUUAGAUCUACGGCUUCUCCGUCCAUUACCCCGACAUAUUCAAGCACUAUGAGCCUUUUCGACUCAUGAUCUGACUUUCUUCAAGACCCUUCUCAUUUCUAGGGUUUUCUCUGAAACCCUAAGUUGUCUGAGGUUCUU
rnacentral:lncRNA from 1 species